AUCUUUUGUGAAGAAAAAAUGCUUUCUGGAUGUUAAUUUGGCAGCUGGAAAUUUUUGCCUUGGUUCACCUGGACUUUCAUCACUGAUUUCAGCCUGGGAGGAGCGAGGAGUUGUCUCACAGAAACUAUUUUUGAAGACUGACUAAUAAUGGUCUGAGGGUGACUCAUGGUGCAGGAAGUGCAAGAAGAAAGAAACAUCAGGAAGCAGGACAAUGAAAUGAUGAGAAGAGUUGAGAAAACAGACCUUGCCUUCUUCCUCACUGAAGGAAUGCAGGGAGAAAAAAAAUCUUCGAAUUGGAGGAGAGAGUGGAGAAGCCAAAGCAACUUGCGGAGGAACUAGAUCCGUUGGACAAACUGAGGGCAAGUUGAAGAGAUGUACAAAUUAUAAAAUUUGCGGACCCAUGCUGUGGGGUGAGAAUAUGAGGCCCAGAACUGCUAUGGCCAUUGUUGCUGCCGUGAGGGAGAGCAGUCUGAGCAUGAAAUGUCACAGGGAAGAGGGCUGCUGAAAUACCUGCUGAGAAAUGGAACCAGAGCCCGGAAGUGACUGUGAACGUGUGGAGUGAAUCAAAUCUGAAGCCCACUUUACCUCUGGACUUUCCAGCUACGUGAGCGAAUAAAUUCCCUUUAUUGUGUGACCCGGUCGGAAGUAGAUUUUCUAUUUUUCAAAAACCAAAGAUCCUUAACUAAUCCAGUGAUAAGAUUCAGAUGUAAUCUCAGUCCUUUUUGCCUUUAAUAUACCCAAACUUGAGUCAAAUCUACCAAUUCCUAGCCUAUGAUAGUCCAAAGCCAU